GCCUGGAUAGCUCAGUUGGUUAGGGCGUGGUGCUGGUAAUGCCAAGGUUGCGGGUUUGACCACCAUAUGGGACA